rnacentral:rRNA from 1 species
UAUGUAGGGUGCAAGCGUUAAUCGGAAUUACUGGGCGUAAAGCGUGCGCAGGCGGUUUUGUAAGUCUGAUGUGAAAUCCCCGGGCUCAACCUGGGAAUUGCAUUGGAGACUGCAAGGCUAGAAUCUGGCAGAGGGGGGUAGAAUUCCACGUGUAGCAGUGAAAUGCGUAGAGAUGUGGAGGAACACCGAUGGCGAAGGCAGCCCCCUGGGUCAAGAUUGACGCUCAUGCACGAAAGCGUGGGGAGCAAACAGG